rnacentral:rRNA from 1 species
AAUAAGCGGAGGAAAAGAAACUAACAAGGAUUCCCCUAGUAACGGCGAGUGAAGCGGGAAGAGCUCAAAUUUGAAAUCUGGUAGCCUUCGGCUGCCCGAGUUGUAAUCUAGAGAAGUGUUUUCCGUGCCGGCCCAUGUACAAGUCCCUUGGAACAGGGCGUCAUAGAGGGUGAGAAUCCCGUCCUUGACAUGGACCCCCGGUGCUUUGUGAUACACUUUCAACGAGUCGAGUUGUUUGGGAAUGCAGCUCAAAAUGGGUGGUGAAUUCCAUCUAAAGCUAAAUAUUGGCGAGAGACCGAUAGCGAACAAGUACCGUGAGGGAAAGAUGAAAAGCACUUUGGAAAGAGAGUUAAACAGUACGUGAAAUUGUUGAAAGGGAAACGAUUGAAGUCAGUCAUGCUCUUUGGAUUCAGCCGUUCUGCGGUGUAUUUCCAUUGAGUGGGGUCAACAUCAGUUUUGAUCGCUGGAUAAAGGCACUAGGAAGGUAGCACUCUCGGGUGAACUUAUAGCCUAGCGUCAUAUACAGUGAUUGGGACUGAGGAACGCAGCAUGCCUUUAUGGCCGGGAUUCGUCCACGUACAUGCUUAGGAUGUUGACAUAAUGGCUUUAAACGACCCGUCUUGAAAC